GUAGUCAUAUGCUUGUCUCAAAGAUUAAGCCAUGCAUGUCUAAGUACAUGCCGAAAUAAGGCGAAACCGCGAAUGGCUCAUUAAAUCAGUUAUGGUUCCUUAGAUCGUUUCUUCCUACUUGGAUAACUGUGGCAAUUCUAGAGCUAAUACAUGCAGUGAGCCUGGAGCCCUUUGGGUAACGGGUGCUUUUAUUAGACCAAGAUCGAUCGGGUUUCGGCCCGUAUUGUGUGGUGACUCUGGAUAACUUUGUGCUGAUCGCAUGGCCACGAGCCGGCGACGUUUCUUUCAAGUGUCUGCCUUAUCAACUUUCGAUGGUAGGUUACUUGCUUACCAUGGUUGUUACGGGUAACGGAGAAUCAGGGUUCGAUUCCGGAGAGGGAGCCUGAGAAACGGCUACCACAUCCAAGGAAGGCAGCAGGCGCGCAAAUUACCCACUCCCGGCACGGGGAGGUAGUGACGAAAAAUAACAAUACGGGACUCUUUUGAGGCCCCGUAAUUGAAAUGAGUACACUCUAAAUCCUUUAACGAGGUCAUUGGAGGGCAAGUCUGGUGCCAGCAGCCGCGGUAAUUCCAGCUCCAAUAGCGUAUACUAAAGCUGCUGCCGUUAAAAAGCUCGUAGUUGGAUCUCAGUUCCAGACGAGAUAGUGCAUCUACCCGAUGCGACGGCUCGGACUGAACAUCAUGCCGGUUCUUUCUUGGUGCACUUCAUUGUGUGCCUCGAGAUGGCCGGUGCUUUUACUUUGAAAAAAUUAGAGUGCUCAACGCAGGCGAGUCGCCUGAAUAAACUUGCAUGGAAUAAUAGAACAAGACCUCGUUUCUGUUCUGUUGGUUUUUGGAAUACGAGGUAAUGAUUAAGAGGGACGGACGGGGGCAUUCGUAUUGCGGCGCUAGAGGUGAAAUUCUUGGACCGUCGCAAGACGAACUACUGCGAAAGCAUUUGCCAAGAAUGUUUUCAUUGAUCAAGAACGAAAGUCAGAGGUUCGAAGGCGAUCAGAUACCGCCCUAGUUCUGACCAUAAACGAUGCCAACCAGCGAUCCGCCUGAGUUACUCAAAUGACUCGGCGGGCAGCUUCCGGGAAACCAAAGUAUUUGGGUUCCGGGGAAGUAUGGUUGCAAAGCUGAAACUUAAAGGAAUUGACGGAAGGGCACCACCAGGAGUGGAGCUGCGGCUUAAUUUGACUCAACACGGGAAAACUUACCCGGCCCGGACACUGGGAGGAUUGACAGAUUGAGAGCUCUUUCUUGAUUCGGUGGAUGGUGGUGCAUGGCCGUUCUUAGUUGGUGGAGCGAUUUGUCUGGUUAAUUCCGAUAACGAACGAGACUCUAGCCUAUUAAAUAGGUGCGGGGUUCCCAGCACCUUACAACCUUCUUAGAGGGACAAGCGGCUCCUAGCCGCACGAAACAGAGCAAUAACAGGUCUGUGAUGCCCUUAGAUGUCCGGGGCCGCACGCGCGCUACACUGAAGGAAGCAGCGUGUCUUUAUCCCUGUCUGAAAAGACUGGGUAACCCGUGGAACUUCUUUCGUGAUUGGGAUAGGGGCUUGCAAUUGUUCCCCUUGAACGAGGAAUUCCCAGUAAGCGCGAGUCAUAAGCUCGCGUUGAUUACGUCCCUGCCCUUUGUACACACCGCCCGUCGCUACUACCGAUUGAAUGAUUUAGUGAGGUCUUCGGACCGAUGUCCGGCGCGGCCUUUCGGUUGCGCCGGUCUGUUGGAAAGAUGACCAAACUUGAUCAUUUAGAGGAAGUAAAAGUCGUAACAAGGUUUCCGUAGGUGAACCUGCGGA
rnacentral:rRNA from 1 species